UGAGGGUUCGAGUCCCUUCGUGGUCGCC
rnacentral:piRNA from 6 species